rnacentral:rRNA from 1 species
AACGAACGCUGGCGGCAUGCCUAACACAUGCAAGUCGAACGAGACCUUCGGGUCUAGUGGCGCACGGGUGCGUAACGCGUGGGAACCUGCCCUUAGGUUCGGAAUAACUCCCCGAAAGGGGUGCUAAUACCGGAUAAUGUCUUCGGACCAAAGAUUUAUCGCCUUUGGAUGGGCCCGCGUUGGAUUAGCUAGUUGGUAGGGUAAAAGCCUACCAAGGCGACGAUCCAUAGCUGGUCUGAGAGGAUGAUCAGCCACACUGGGACUGAGACACGGCCCAGACUCCUACGGGAGGCAGCAGUGGGGAAUAUUGGACACUGGGCGAAAGCCUGAUCCAGCAAUGCCGCGUGAGUGAUGAAGGCGUUAGGGUUGUAAAGCUCUUUUACCCGGGAUGAUAAGGACAGUACCGGGAGAAUAAGCUCCGGCUAACUCCGU